AGAAUAGGCAACAAUGUAUCUGUCAGGCUGCUUGAGCUGACUAAUGUAGUAUUCCAGGCGAUAAGGAACACAUGCAGAUAUUUUUUUCCUAUUGAUUAGAGAGCUAUUCAAUGUUUAUGAAGUGGAGGCGUGAAGUAAAGAUACAGAAUUUUCUCAAGUGGAUUUGAUUCCCAUCUUAUCACUGAUGUAAAAUCAGGAGCUUCUCUACUGAAGAUGAAUCACUUAUGCUGUGUAGAGGAAAUGAAGGUAGGAAAAAUUAUCGGUUAUUAUUCUAUUCUUGUUUGAUCAAGGCAAGCGAUGUUAUGGAAGACAGCGGAUUUAUAUCUGUCU